GGAGUCUGGACCGUUUCUCAGUUCCAAUGUGGCCGUUCAACCUCUCAGUUCGGCUAAUGAUCGUAGAUUUGGUAGGCCGUUACCCUGCCAACUGUCUAAUCAUACGCGAGCCCAUCGUACAGCAAUAAAUCUUUGACACAGAUACCAUGCGAUCUCCGUGUGUCAUGCGGUAUUAGCACAAGUUUCCCUGUGUUAUCCCCCACUAUACGGCAGGUUG
rnacentral:rRNA from 1 species